UUAAGUUAGAAAGGGCGCACGGUGGAUGCCUUGACACUAGGAGUCGAUGAAGGACGGGACUAACGCCGAUAUGCUUCGGGGAGCUGUAAGUAAGCUUUGAUCCGAAGAUUUCCGAAUGGGGAAACCCACCAUACGUAAUGGUAUGGUAUCCUUAUCUGAAUACAUAGGGUAAGGAAGACAGACCCAGGGAACUGAAACAUCUAAGUACCUGGAGGAAGAGAAAGCAAAUGCGAUUUCCUGAGUAGCGGCGAGCGAAACGGAACAUAGCCCAAACCAAGAGGCUUGCCUCUUGGGGUUGUAGGACAUUCUAUACGGAGUUACAAAGGAACGAGGUAGACGAAGCGACCUGGAAAGGUCUGUCGUAGAGGGUAACAACCCCGUAGUCGAAACUUCGUUCUCUCUUGAAUGUAUCCUGAGUACGGCGGAACACGUGAAAUUCCGUCGGAAUCUGGGAGGACCAUCUCCCAAGGCUAAAUACUCCCUAGUGAUCGACAGUGAACCAGUACCGUGAGGGAAAGGUGAAAAGCACCCCGGAAGGGGAGUGAAAGAGAUCCUGAAACCGUGUGCCUACAAAUAGUCAGAGCCCGUUAACGGGUGAUGGCGUGCCUUUUGUAGAAUGAACCGGCGAGUUACGAUCCCGUGCGAGGUUAAGCUGAAGAGGCGGAGCCACAGCGAAAGCGAGUCUGAAUAGGGCGUUUAGUACGUGGUCGUAGACCCGAAACCAGGUGAUCUACCCAUGUCCAGGGUGAAGUUCAGGUAACACUGAAUGGAGGCCCGAACCCACGCACGUUGAAAAGUGCGGGGAUGAGGUGUGGGUAGCGGAGAAAUUCCAAUCGAACCUGGAGAUAGCUGGUUCUCCCCGAAAUAGCUUUAGGGCUAGCCUUAAGUGUAAGAGUCUUGGAGGUAGAGCACUGAUUGGACUAGGGGUCCUCAUCGGAUUACCGAAUUCAGUCAAACUCCGAAUGCCAAUGACUUAUCCUUAGGAGUCAGACUGCGAGUGAUAAGAUCCGUAGUCAAAAGGGAAACAGCCCAGACCGCCAGCUAAGGUCCCAAAGUGUGUAUUAAGUGGAAAAGGAUGUGGAGUUGCUUAGACAACUAGGAUGUUGGCUUAGAAGCAGCCACCAUUUAAAGAGUGCGUAAUAGCUCACUAGUCGAGUGACUCUGCGCCGAAAAUGUACCGGGGCUAAAUACACCACCGAAGCUGCGGAUUGAUACCGAAUGGUAUCAGUGGUAGGGGAGCGUUCUAAGGACAGUGAAGUCAGACCGGAAGGACUGGUGGAGUGCUUAGAAGUGAGAAUGCCGGUAUGAGUAGCGAAAGACGGGUGAGAAUCCCGUCCACCGAAUGCCUAAGGUUUCCUGAGGAAGGCUCGUCCGCUCAGGGUUAGUCAGGACCUAAGCCGAGGCCGACAGGCGUAGGCGAUGGACAACAGGUUGAUAUUCCUGUACCACCUCUUUAUCGUUUGAGCAAUGGAGGGACGCAGAAGGAUAGAAGAAGCGUGCGAUUGGUUGUGCACGUCCAAGCAGUUAGGCUGAUAAGUAGGCAAAUCCGCUUAUCGUAAAGGCUGAGCUGUGAUGGGGAAGCUCCUUAUGGAGCGAAGUCUUUGAUUCCCCGCUGCCAAGAAAAGCUUCUAGCGAGAUAAAAGGUGCCUGUACCGCAAACCGACACAGGUAGGCGAGGAGAGAAUCCUAAGGUGUGCGAGAGAACUCUGGUUAAGGAACUCGGCAAAAUGACCCCGUAACUUCGGGAGAAGGGGUGCUUUCUUAACGGAAAGCCGCAGUGAAUAGGCCCAAGCGACUGUUUAGACAAAAACACAGCUCUCUGCGAAGCCGUAAGGCGAAGUAUAGGGGGUGACACCUGCCCGGUGCUGGAAGGUUAAGGAGAGGGGUUAGCGUAAGCGAAGCUCUGAACUGAAGCCCCAGUAAACGGCGGCCGUAACUAUAACGGUCCUAAGGUAGCGAAAUUCCUUGUCGGGUAAGUUCCGACCCGCACGAAAGGUGUAACGAUUUGGGCACUGUCUCAACCAGAGACUCGGUGAAAUUAUAGUACCUGUGAAGAUGCAGGUUACCCGCGACAGGACGGAAAGACCCCGUGGAGCUUUACUGUAGCCUGAUAUUGAAUUUUGGUACAGUUUGUACAGGAUAGGCGGGAGCCUUUGAAACCGGAGCGCUAGCUUCGGUGGAGGCGCUGGUGGGAUACCGCCCUGACUGUAUUGAAAUUCUAACCUACGGGUCUUAUCGACCCGGGAGACAGUGUCAGGUGGGCAGUUUGACUGGGGCGGUCGCCUCCUAAAGUGUAACGGAGGCGCCCAAAGGUUCCCUCAGAAUGGUUGGAAAUCAUUCGUAGAGUGCAAAGGCAUAAGGGAGCUUGACUGCGAGACCUACAAGUCGAGCAGGGACGAAAGUCGGGCUUAGUGAUCCGGUGGUUCCGCAUGGAAGGGCCAUCGCUCAACGGAUAAAAGCUACCCCGGGGAUAACAGGCUUAUCUCCCCCAAGAGUCCACAUCGACGGGGAGGUUUGGCACCUCGAUGUCGGCUCAUCGCAUCCUGGGGCUGUAGUCGGUCCCAAGGGUUGGGCUGUUCGCCCAUUAAAGCGGUACGCGAGCUGGGUUCAGAACGUCGUGAGACAGUUCGGUCCCUAUCCGUCGUGGGCGUAGGAAAUUUGAGAGGAGCUGUCCUUAGUACGAGAGGACCGGGAUGGACGCACCGCUGGUGUACCAGUUGUUCUGCCAAGGGCAUAGCUGGGUAGCUAUGUGCGGAAGGGAUAAGUGCUGAAAGCAUCUAAGCAUGAAGCCCCCCUCAAGAUGAGAUUUCCCAUAGCGUAAGCUAGUAAGAUCCCUGAAAGAUGAUCAGGUUGAUAGGUUCGAGGUGGAAGCAUGGUGACAUGUGGAGCUGACGAAUACUAAUAGAUCGAGGACUUAACCAU
rnacentral:rRNA from 1 species